UACGGAGGGAGCUAGCGUUAUUCGGAAUUACUGGGCGUAAAGCGUACGUAGGCGGCUUUGUAAGUAAGAGGUGAAAGCCCGGAGCUCAACUCCGGAACUGCCUUUUAGACUGCAUCACUUGAAUCCAGGAGAGGUGAGUGGAAUUCCGAGUGUAGAGGUGAAAUUCGUAGAUAUUCGGAAGAACACCAGUGGCGAAGGCGGCUCACUGGAGCUGGUAUUGACGCUGAGGUACGAAAGCGUGGGGAGCAAACAGGG
rnacentral:rRNA from 1 species